rnacentral:tRNA from 1 species
AGCUGGCUAGUUCAGUCGGAAGGGCAUGAGACUCGCAAUCUCAGGAUUGUGGGUUUGAGCCUCAUGCUGGGUG